AUAUAUAUAUAUAUAAAUAUAUACAUGUAUAUGUAUAUAUUUAUAUUAUAUACAUUAUAUGCGAUUUUGAAUCUGUCCGUGGAUGAUAAUCUUGCAACGGAGUACGAAUUGUACUCUCUAAAUUUUCCGGAGUGAAUCUCACUCCAAAAGAUUGGAAAUACUGUCACUCGAUCACACGAGAGUGGUAGUAUUUUCACUCUUGGAGAUUCACUCCAAAAGAGUGAAAAGUCAUUCUAGAAAAUUUCGAGAGUAUAUGUCGGUGUUAAUGGUAAUUAAAGUAAAAAAAGUGGCAAAAGUAAUGACAAUCGUUCUCUAAUAAACCAUCGCAAACGUUGGCGACAAGCGCAGAUUUCGUGCAUCUCCAGUUCAUCCAGUUAAUCAAUCUCUCGUUUACGCACACAAGUUCUUUUAUCAUUCUUAGCUCUCUUGCUAUUCUCUCUCUCUCUCUCUCUCUCUCUCUCUUUCUUUCGGAAGUCAGGGUUACUUUCAGAAGUGCAACACCAUAUACACAAACGAUCGUAAAGACAUCUCCGUUGCGCCGGAAAGACCCUUUCUCUCCCACACGCAACUCCGAUUUGUCCACGCUCGAAACUUUCAGAGUCACACCACACCUCGCAUUCUUUUUAUUUACUCUUGUCUAUAUUUUUUUUUAUUCUCACAUGGAAUAUCUCUGCUUCUCUAUAUCCUUGCUGACUAUAUACUCAGUGCCUUACUAUAUAACGACACCCGUAACCGAUUUUAAUUAAGAUCUCCUGACGGCGGUCUUACACGCGAAUUAUAAAAGCUGGUUUGUUGCGAUCAGCAAAAACCGAACGGCACGGUACGUUCUGCGAAUUGUAUUACAGUCGCGGGACGAGUUUCGCUCUGCUUCAUCCCUCGUCCCUUAUAUGUCUCUUCUCUGUACUCUCUGUGUGUAUAUGUGUGCGCGUGUGUGUACUCAUACAUAUGUGUCGAUUCUUCGCGUACAAGUAUAUUUUGCCGUAUUACACUGAAUCCGCACGCUUCUUACCCGUAUUCGGAUCGCGCUUACGACAACAACAAUCUGAUAAAUCGAGACACAUCGUCACUCCACAUACGCCGAUAAUCGUACGCCAAACAUUUUUCAUAUAGUAUAAUACAUAUUCAUAUAGAACUGAAUGCGUGUGCGCUAACAGUCCCCGACGAGAAAGAGACGCAAAGAAGAGAUAAUCGAUUACAAAAACUAAUUAUAUUCUUUUCCGGGGUGGUGCGACGAAAUGUCGAAUGAUAUUGCAACUCGAAAGCGAAGAUGUUAGCGCGUCCAAGUGGAUCCCCCGCCGAAGCGUAUAGGGCGCGAAUAAACGCGAACGAAUGAACGCGAACGAACGACCUUGCCUCAAUGUGUGCAAUUACAUUUCUAAUAAAUCUCAUAAAAUCGAGACAUAUGUGGGAUCGGGAAUCGAACCCGAAACCGCCGAUUACGAAUCAACGUGCUCGCGUACUGAUCCAUUCGUUAUCCCAUCCGCGAGUGCAGAAAGAUCCCAAUUAAAUUUGCGCCGAUCGUCAAUUCCUUGUCGAUACAUCACGGAGAAAGCGAUCGUUACGUUCAGUUCACGUUUGUCGGAAGCGUAGAGCGAGAACAACUGCGAACGAACGAACGAACGAACGAACGAGCUUAUCUCAAUGUGUAUACCAAUGUGCAAGUAUAAAACGAUCUAAUUAAAUUUGCGCCAAUCGUCAUUCCUUGUCGAUACAUCACGGAGAUAGCGAUCGUUACGUUCAGUUCACGUCUGUCGGAAGCGUAGAGCGUGAACAAACGCGAACAAACGAACAAACGAACGAACGAACGAACGAGCUUGUCUCAAUGUGUACCAAUGUGGCAAGUAUAAAACGAUCUAAUUGAAUUUGCGCCAAUCGUCAUUCCUUGUCGAUACAUCAAUGGGAAAGCGAUCGUUACGUUCAAUUCACGUCCGUCGCAUGGAAGCAUAGUGCGCGAACAAACGAACGAACGAACAAGCUUGUCUCAAUGCGUACCGACGUGCAAAUACGAAACGAUCUAAUUAAAUUUGCGCCAAUCGCGUCAUUUUCUUGUCGAUACACAAUCAAGGGGAAAGCGAGCGUUACGUUCAGUUCACGUCCGUCGCGUGGAAGCAUAGAGUGCGGACAAACGCGAACGAACGAACGUGCUUGUCUCAAUGUGUACCAAUGUGCAAGUAUAUGUACAAACGAUCUAAUUAAAUUUUCGCGCCAAACGUCACUUCGUCGAUAUACAUCGAGGCGAUCGUUACGUUCACAGUUCAUGUCCGUCGCGCGUGUGGAUCUUGGAUUCGUCCCCCGGGUCCGCUUGCGAAGCGUUUUUCUGCGAAUACGGGCCGCUCUCGAUGCAACAGCGCAAAAUAUACAUUCGUGUGGUAAUAAUAAGUGUGACUAAUGGGACUACCCUACGGAAUCUAAAUGCCUAAGGAUAUCUAACACCGUUUGAAUGGACGCAGUCGAAGGCUUUCGCACGUGAUGUACAAUAUAAUACUGAAUCGCUCGGGACAGUGUCGCGCGAGUCACUGCGAAGGGAACUGAGUAACGAGUACUUCGGAGAAAACAAAUCGAUCGAAGCGUCGGCGGCGAUUCGGCGUAACAUGGCAUAAUGCAUAUGUAUAAAUCAUUCAUCAUACAGCAUACCAAUCCUUAAUUAAUUAAUAAAUCGUAUUAGAUUCGUUACCCUACAGUUAGAAAAUUGAAUGUCACUAAAAGUCAAUCGUGUCUAUUGUUGCUACAGAACUCAUUCACGAAACAUCAAAGUGACAUUUUUUUGUCGCAAGAUACGCAACAGAACUAUAUAUGUAUUACUAACUCGCGAUUUCUUAAGAAAAAUUAAUCAAUCAGCUGACUAACAUAUUAAAGGAAACUGACUAACAUAUCAUUAUUAUCAGUUUUACGUGUAACGCUUCCCGACGUAAUAUGGCGACGUCAUAUAAUGCGAACGAGAUCGGAGUCUCGCGUGUAUUAACGCGGAACAUGCCCGACGUUCGCUUUAUUUCAACGUUCCAAAUCACGUGAUUGAUCACGUUCUUAAUCAAUCUCUUAGAAAAUAUUACCUCGGAAAGUUCGCUUACAUAAAUCUACUACAGCAUCGCUAAUAAUAAAAACUUAAGCUAAAAACAAAAUAUAAAAAUACUACUGAUUCUAGUUUAUGCUAUGAUUUUGUCAACUUAAUCGAACAUAUAGAUAUACAUAUUAAAUCCAAAAGUUAACAAAAAUCAAACGUUGAAAAGUUAUUUUAUGCUCCACAGAUCUAUAUAUGUCACGUGUGUAUGUCCGUGUUGUGUCUUUUUUUUCCCUUUCUUUUCUCAUUUUAAUUGCAUUGCCUAUUUAAUCAAUUAGAUAUUCGGUAACUGUAAAAAAGACUUACAAAUAAAUGAUUCGAGGUUCAAUCGAUUCUAGCGUUAUGAUUCUAUCUACAAAUAAUAAUACCAUCGUAAAAACGGAGAGACCAAAGCGAUACACAGUGUAAUUAAAUAUAAUAAUAAACUGCCUCAAAAUGGCUACCUAUUUACUGCUAUCAUAAGUGGCUAUUAUGAUAAUAGUCAUUAAGUAUCGUUCACACUUCUUUGAUUGUGGUUUAGUUUACAUACUUUAAGACGUUAUGAUACAUGUGAGUAUGACACGGAGUUCCACUAAAAAUAUCUGUUAGAUACGCUGAGCAUUACUGACUUAAGCACUGUACUAAAUUCACAUAAAAGUGUAUUGUAUUAUCAUUAUUAUUAGAAAACUAAUUAUUUUUCAUUGGUUUGAAAUACUGGUUUAAUAGAUCCGUAUAAAACCUUUGUCAACUGGAACUCUUAGAAUAAUGAUUUACACGAUACCGAUUCUUUUGCUGGAAAGAAUGCUAUGUGUAUACGAGUAAGUCAUUACAAUUCAACUCUCAUUGGACAAUCUCAUUACAACAGGCAACAAUUGCAAGUCAUGUUUUUAGUUCGUAUUACAAUAUUACCGUGCACUCAAUAAUCGCACGAUUAUUCAAUAUGUGACUUGUUUCCGUUUCCUUUCUCUUUCCUUUCUUUUUACCGAUAUAUCUCGAGAUAUAUUGAAAUGUACAGAGACAAUCGUGUCUGUUAAAUACGUAAUGAAUUGCAAUAAAGAAAUGACAAAUGAGAAUAAAUACAAUGUAAGAUCUGUGACAUAUGUUUCGAUUAUAAAUGUUCAACUUCAGCUUCUUGAGAAUGUAUUCAUCAGUCGGAUGGCAGCAAUCUUACUGCAAUUAAUAGAAGCUCUAACAAGCUUUCUAAGUUAGAUUAAAUUUUUUUUUUCCUUUACAUGUAUCUUGUAUAUUGUCUAAUAUAAAUAAAUUAAUGAUCCAGUAUGAGGCCAGAGAAAGGCAGUUACAUACUCUAAGUGAUAGAUAAACUUUACUUUAUCCUCUAUGUGUUAUUGUUCAUAUCCACUUUUUUGUUUUGUAUCUGGCACUCUUUCCUAUUUUAGGCUGCUUCUCAGUUUAACUGUAAUUUAUUUUGCUGGAUUAUUGCGUUGCAUGGAAAAAUAUGGCUUUAUCCAAAAUGCUAUUUAACAAAGGCAAUACACCGUACAAUUACAUUGUAUGCGCGCCACAGUUACACAAUUAAACUUCUUUGAAAAGGCAGAACCAGUGUCCGUAAAAACAACGAGAGACUGGCGUUUCGCCAAUUUUUACAGACAACAGGUUAUUCUUAUCGUCAAUUACAAAUGCUGUUAUUUGUACACUAUGCAUGUAAAAAGCACUACAUACGUCAUGAUCGUUCAUCUCUUGUGAUGUUUUCAACAAAGCUAAAUGGUAAACAUUCGAAUAAAUACCGGUUCCUCUUACUGUAUAAGUUAUCAAGGUAUAUUAUAGAAUAAAGGCAGAAAGAAGAAACCUUCCUCGACAAAGUGCCUACAAAAAUAUUUAUAUAAUAGAUUGAGGAUUGCUGUGUCUAAAACUUUAAUCUGGUUAUAUUAGCCACGUGUUACCAGUCUUAAACAUAGUGACUAAUCGAUCAUCAUGGACAAGUCCCACACUGUCUUUUCUACAACUGUAUACAUUUUUGAUCUUUAAGCGUCACUCUCUGGUGCAGGGUAUAAAGCGUGUCGUAAUUAAGAAUCUCUUUAUCUCCCCCAUGAGUGGGGGGAGCGGGGCUUAUUUAAAAAUACAGAAAGAUAAAUACUCGGUAAAUACGUACAAGUGUACAGAUGCCACAGAUAACUUAACGAGAGCAAGCUGAGCUUCACUGAAUCAUAUAUAAAUAUGGUGUAAUAAAAAAUAACUUAUGCUACGAAUGCCUUUCCGUCAAAACAUUUCGAGGUCAUUAAAAAAAUAUCGGUUAUACACAGUCAAUCUUCUUUUUCUCUUUUUCUGUUUUUUUUGUCUUUUCUUCUUUUUUUUUUGAACUGUACUUUGUAAAUCCGUCUUGUUACGAACGAUAUUGAUGCAGGAUUCAAAACUAUCCAACUACAUCGUGUCACUAGUGUAGAAGAACGGAACACGGCUGAUAAUCAACCAUACGCGUAGCGUUCGUCCACAGCAUGAAGGAAUUCUUAUCUUAGUUAUAUGAAUAUCCUAUACAACUCGUAUUCUCGUCAAUGAACGUCUCAUUAAGUGCGCUUACAUACAAAUCCUGCGUAUAAAAAAGUCUCAAAAUAAUAAGAUUUUAAACACAUUUGUUCAACGCUCGCUCUAAUGUUUUUGAUCUUUAGUGUCAUUUUCCCUUAUAAGUAUGACGCCGAUACAACGCAAGCACUUAUAAGUAUAGAAUUAAUAUUUUCGAUAUUAAUUCACGAUGGAUGACGAAUGGAGUUCUCGCAAUAUAAUGUUGUAUUUUCGUACGAGAACAAACAUUAAAAAGGCAGCUUAUUUCAAAGUUCUCAAAAAAGUACGUUUUGUCAAAAAUUUCUGCUUCCUUCUUAACAGAAUUUUUUUCCAAUUCCUGCGUACAGUAAAGAAAACAUGAAGUAGCUUUCUUUGACGAGCUUCAUUAUGAUGAAAGUUUAAGGCUCCUGACUACUCAUAAUCAGCCAAGGACUCCGCGUUAACGCGGUGAUAAUAACAAGAUAAAAACGUGUAAGCACGGUUGUUGAAUGUUCCUUCUAAAUUUAAACGCGAGAUUUUCUAACAUAUCAAAUUUCAUUUGUGAAAUCAUGCAAGUUUUGGAAGAUUCAUAAACUCUAGUCUGUUUGAUACCAUACUAAAGCAAAUGAGUGAUCUAGUUUCUACCGAAGCAUUAAUUUGCACCUAAUAGAAUCAACUUCGUGUAGUUUUUUUUAAAUCUCGUUCGAGAAACGACUUUUCGAGGACGUGAUUAAUACAUUUGCGCGUAAGUUUCGCAAAUGGAGUUUCGCAUUAUUAAAUUUGAGAUUUAAAUAAUACGGAUAUCUUUCAGACCUUUUCGCCGUCUCGGAAAUUGCUAAAUCGCAAUCCUAACCGUGAUGUGCUUGAAGCAACUGUGGAAGGAUGGAAGAUAUCUAAUGUCGAAUAUACUGGAGGAGGUAAUUAUACUAUUCCUUUUUCGAUUGCGAUGUCCUGAUCUGAAAUUGGACAUAUUCUCUAAUCUAAGUGAGUGAGUCUAGUUUCCACCGAAGCUUUAAUUCGCACCUAAUACGGUGUAGAAUCAAUUUUAGGUAGUUUUUUCGAAAUCAAUUCUCGUUCGAGAGAAGCGACUUUUCGAGGAUUAAUGCAUUCGCGUGCAAGUUUCGUAAAUGGAGCAUUAUUAAAUUUGAGAUUUAAUAAUGCGGGGAUAUCUUUCAGAUAUCUGUGCCGUCUCAGACAUUGCUAGAUCGCAAUCCUAACCGUGAUAUGCUUGAAGCUACUCUGAAAGGAUGGAAGAUAUCUAAUGUCGAAUAUACUAGGAAAUUAUACUGCGGUGGUAAUUAUACUAUUCUUUUUUCGUUGCGACGUCCUGAUCUAAAUUGGACACACUUCUCUAAGCACGCAAAUUUGUUGGAACUUAUCGUCUUAGAGUUGCUAUACUAUAUCGCAAUUUGUUCAUUGUCCUCUAAGGCCCGUUCUUCAAUAUUUGUCAGUAUCAUAAGAAUUCUAGAGACAAAGAGAGAGAGAGAGAGAGAGAAAGAGAGAGAAGGGAGGGGGUCCUAUUUAUCGAAUAUAAUCGAUCGCGUAAUAACAAAAAGCACCUGAUGCUUUUUUCGUUAAUAAUAUAUUAUUUAAAGCUGUUGAAAAGCUGGUCAGGCUUUUACAACUGCAUUUCUUGCUAACACCUUGUAGGCGUAUAUUGUCUCUCGAAAGUGAAUGAUCCUCGAGAGACAAUAAACUCUUCACAAUAGAAUUCUGCAAUUCUAUGCCGGUAUCGUAAACAAUAAGAAUUAAUCACAAUCGAAUGUUAAAAGAAUAUGCUUGACUUGUGAAGAGAACGGACCUUACUGUGAAAGUGUUGAACAACGAACAAGAUCUUGUCUUGCGUGCCAUUUCGUUAUUACAUUGCUUAAUUGUGAAAAUGUCUCGUACUUAUCAACUUCGUAAAAAUGGAUAGAAAGCAAAGUUAUUUGUGAAUUACAUAUUAUACAUAUACAUAUUAUACAUAAAAACAUAUUCUUCACUUUCUUUUAUCUUCCAGAGUUCCUUGAGUUUUUUUUUUUUUUGCCUGAAUA